rnacentral:tRNA from 1 species
UGGGUGUUUAGUGUAGUGUUAGCACAGGAAGCUCCAAACUUUCUAGCGUGGGUUAGAUUCCUACAACACCUGCCAU